rnacentral:rRNA from 1 species
UACGGAGGGUGCAAGCGUUAUCCGGAUUUACUGGGUUUAAAGGGUGCGUAGGUGGGUCUGUAAGUCAGUGGUGAAAUCUCCGAGCUUAACUCGGAAACUGCCAUUGAUACUAUAGGUCUUGAAUUAUCUGGAGGUAAGCGGAAUAUGUCAUGUAGCGGUGAAAUGCUUAGAUAUGACAUAGAACACCAAUUGCGAAGGCAGCUUGCUACGGAUCGAUUGACACUGAGGCACGAAAGCGUGGGGAUCAAACAGG